rnacentral:tRNA from 1 species
GGCCUGUUAGCUCAGCUGGUUAGAGCGUGGUGCUAAUAACGCCAAGGUCGUGGGUUCGAUCUCCACAUGGGCCA